GACAGAGGGUGCAAACGUUGUUCGGAAUUACUGGGCGUAAAGCGUGCGUAGGCGGUCUUGUAAGUCGGAUGUGAAAGCCCCGGGCUCAACCCGGGAAGUGCACUCGAUACUGCAAGACUUGAGUACCGGAGAGGUUGGUGGAAUUCUCGGUGUAGAGGUGAAAUUCGUAGAUAUCGAGAGGAACACCGGUGGCGAAGGCGGCCAACUGGACGAGUACUGACGCUGAGACACGAAAGCGUGGGGAGCAAACAGG
rnacentral:rRNA from 1 species